rnacentral:tRNA from 1 species
AGGCAGCUAGUUUAAGCAAAACAACUAAUUUCGACUUAGAAGACCCGAGUUCAACUCUUGGGCCGCCAC